GAUGAACGCUGGCGGCGUGCCUAACACAUGCAAGUCGAACGGAACUAUUUUGGAAACUCCUUCGGGAGCGGAAUCUUUAGUUUAGUGGCGGACGGGUGAGUAACGCGUGAGCAAUCUGCCUUUAAGAGGGGGAUAACAGUCGGAAACGGCUGCUAAUACCGCAUAAAGCAUCAAAUUCGCAUGUUUUUGAUGCCAAAGGAGCAAUCCGCUUUUAGAUGAGCUCGCGUCUGAUUAGCUGGUUGGCGGGGUAACGGCCCACCAAGGCGACGAUCAGUAGCCGGACUGAGAGGUUGAACGGCCACAUUGGGACUGAGACACGGCCCAGACUCCUACGGGAGGCAGCAGUGGGGAAUAUUGCGCAAUGGGGGGAAACCCUGACGCAGCAACGCCGCGUGAUUGAAGAAGGCCUGGUUGUAAGAUCUUAAUCUAGGGACGAAACGAAAUAGACGGUACCU
rnacentral:rRNA from 1 species